AGGCGGGCGAGGGUCCGGGCGGAGGCGGAGGCGGCGGCGGAGGAGGAGAGGAGGCGGCGCGGGUCGUCGAGGAAGACGGGGAGAUGCAUGUGCUUAGCGCCGGAACGACGGAUCGGUCAUCGAGGAAGAGCGGCAAAAGAUCUACCUCUGGGCAGUCGAAGAAGGUGGCGGAGGAUGACAGGUCGAGGGUGAGUAGAUGGCGCAGCGGCGCGGAUUUGACGAUCGAAUCGGCCUUCGCAACACGCCAGGAUUUCCGCUUCCUCCGCAGCCUUGCAUUGCCGAAUGAAUUUCCACGACGAUAGCAGGGCUUGGCCUUCAGAGUUCCAGAGAUAUGCCGUGAAUGCACCAUCAACGUUGAUCUUUGCCCAUCCUGUUGGCGGCGCCUUCCAAGGUGUUAAUCUUCUUUGACCCUCUGCUGCUCUCAGGCUUUGGAUGCGUGCGGCUGGUCAUUGUAGAGAGCUGUCUGCUUUGCCCUUUAAAUCACUUGUUUUUUUGUCGGAUGAGCAGCAGUUUCUCUGCAUAGUUUUGCAGGAACUGGACAGAGCCAUCUACCGAGCUGUUGCCUUUGCCAUGAAAAGAGUCAUUCCGCCAAAUGAGAUCCUCUGCAGUCACUGCACCCCUACCAUUGUCACUGACAUAUGGGCCCGGAGGUCAUUGGGCCCACAUGUCAGUGACGAUGGCACUCUGCAGUCGACUGCAGAGGAACUCAAUCCCAUUCCGCAAGUGCCAUGCUCGCCGUAGCAACAUGAGGGUAAGUGAUAUCAUCUGCGGUUCUGCACUUCUGCAUGAUCCAGCAAGAGAAGUAACCAAUCAGGUUCGGCUUGCACAAAUUCACUUUCCGGCGCUGUGGCAUGGCACAUUGGCACCCAUCCUCCUGAGCAAAUCCACAUAUUUUGCACGUCGGCCUUUUUAUGAUGCGUCGGCGACUUGUGUGGCCAAUCUGAGUUGCUGAUCAGGUAAGUUUAAGUAACUAAGUAUAUUGUGUGGAUGUAGAUUGGCAGAACAUACUUGUGGCACUUGUUUACCUUCACGUCGAUAUAACAUAUUUUACGUCCUUUUUUUAUUAUUCUGAACAGGUAUGUGUCCCUCCUGAGGAUUGUACAAUUUAUUCUAAUCUGAGCGGUUAUAAACAUCUAAUGCAUUUUUUUUUGUCUAAACAGGGAAUGUGAUUUCAACAAUUUAUGAAGAAUCUGGUUUCCUGUGCUAUGUCGGAAUGUGGGUACAUUUUGAUUAGGGAUGCAAGCGGGGCUGACAAGAGGGUUUUUUUGUCCCGCUUAUUCCACUUCUAGUUCAUUUUUUCUUCUAAAUUUUGUACUACCAUGCGGGAAAUAGACUAACAAGCGGGUUUUUAUGCGGGUAGCGGGACUACCCACUUGCAUCUCUAAAUUUGAUUUAGUAAGGACAUGCUUACAAUCUGCUUGAUCCCUCAGUUAGCACAAUCUUAAUUUCCUUUAAAUAAUCUUUGGAUAAUGCCUUGAUUUCCUGUUAUAUUUUUUUACUGUGACCAGUACAUAAUAAAGCUAUUUGUUUCCACAAA